rnacentral:rRNA from 1 species
UACAGAGGUGCCAAGCGUUAGGCGGAAUCAUUGGGCUUAAAGCGCGUGUAGGCGGCCAUCUAAGUCGGGCGUGAAAUCCCACGGCUCAACCGUGGAAGUGCACUCGAAACUGGAUGGCUAGAGUCCUGGAGAGGAAGGUGGAAUGCUUGGUGUAGAGGUGAAAUUCGUAGAUAUCAAGCGGAACACCGGUGGCGAAGGCGGCCUUCUGGACAGUGACUGACGCUGAGACGCGAAAGCGUGGGGAGCAAACAGGG